rnacentral:tRNA from 1 species
UACAUGUUGAUGUAAAUGCAUAAGAGAUUUUGAUUUUCUAAGAUUUGGUGA